rnacentral:tRNA from 1 species
CGGAGCGUAGCGCAGCCUGGUAGCGCAUGUGGUUUGGGACCACAGGGCCGCUGGUUCGAAUCCAGUCGCUCCGA